rnacentral:lncRNA from 1 species
UUUUAGGACGUUGAACCCCAGAUAUUAUUAUUAUAUUCACACGCUUGGAAGAUACAUCGCAUUCUCGGUGUGUAGUAUGGAGAGUUAUAAAAACAAACAAGUACACACAGACAAGCGUACAAACAAUCAAGCAAACAGGUAUGGAUAAAUCUCACUCUUGACACAUGCAAGUCAUAAAUCGACGUGAUUCGAUGUUUGCGAAUAUUUAUCUUUCAUUUUUUUGCAGCUAGCUUUCAACGAGUGUGACCCAGACUCUAGCGGGAGUGCUAGCUUGGAAAAAUUGCGAGAUUUCGCCGAUACUGGUGAUGUCGACCUUGACACGGUCGUGAUGAAGAUCCUCGCUCGGAGAUGUGGCUCAGAAAAACGAAUGGAAUUCAUGGAUUUCAUUACUUUUCGUCUGAGGCUAGCGUGCAUGAUAAACCUUUACAAGGGUUUCAUUGCCAACACGGCUAAGCCAGUUCCCUUAAGCCUAAGCAUGUUUAUAGCAUUAACCAUGAUCAUCUAGACGUUGGACGUUGUCUCCACAUUACAUCCAUGGAGUCCACAGCAAAGAAGUCUUCGUGGGUGACGAGUUACGGCGCUGAAAUUUGAUACCAAUAAAGUGCAAUCGGAGA